rnacentral:rRNA from 1 species
GAUGAACGCUGGCGGCGUGCCUAAUACAUGCAAGUCGAGCGAACAGACGAGGAGCUUGCUCCUCUGACGUUAGCGGCGGACGGGUGAGUAACACGUGGAUAACCUACCUAUAAGACUGGGAUAACUUCGGGAAACCGGAGCUAAUACCGGAUAAUAUAUUGAACCGCAUGGUUCAAUAGUGAAAGACGGUUUUGCUGUCACUUAUAGAUGGAUCCGCGCCGCAUUAGCUAGUUGGUAAGGUAACGGCUUACCAAGGCGACGAUGCGUAGCCGACCUGAGAGGGUGAUCGGCCACACUGGAACUGAGACACGGUCCAGACUCCUACGGGAGGCAGCAGUAGGGAAUCUUCCGCAAUGGGCGAAAGCCUGACGGAGCAACGCCGCGUGAGUGAUGAAGGUCUUCGGAUCGUAAAACUCUGUUAUUAGGGAAGAACAAAUGCGUAAGUAACUAUGCACGUCUUGACGGUACCGAAGCAGAAAGCCACGGCUAACUACGU